UACGUAGGGGGCAAGCGUUGUUCGGAAUUACUGGGCGUAAAGGGCGCGUAGGCGGCACGGCAAGUCGGGAGUGAAAGCCCGGGGCUCAACCCCGGAACGUCUUUCGAAACUGCCGAGCUAGAGUGCGGAAGGGGCAACUGGAAUUCCCAGUGUAGCGGUGAAAUGCGUAGAUAUUGGGAAGAACACCUGAGGCGAAGGCGGGUUGCUGGGUUGCACCUGACGCUGAGAUGCGAAAGUGUGGGGAGCAAACGGG
rnacentral:rRNA from 1 species